GUGCUGUAAGAGAACACAAAGAAAACCUCCUUGUACAAAACAAAGUAAAUACAGGGUUGUUCUGCAGUUUGAACACUGGGCAAAGACCAUUCUGUGCACUGUUUCAGGAGCCUGCCAGCACGUAGGAGGCAGUUCAAAGGAAAACAAAGGCAGAGCUCAGGAACAGCAUAAUAAUAGAGCUCAGCUCCAACCUGUGCCCAGGAAAGUGAAAGGCCUUUGCACAAGGUGCCUAAAUGAGGCUGCAGCAGGAACAUACUCUCCUGUUUUGGAUUCCCCUGUGCUUCAGGAAGGUGGGAUUACAGAGCAUAAACAUAAAUGUAAAUGCACCAAAGAUAUCUUUAUAAGGAAAAAAAAAAAAAAAAAAAAAAAAAAAAAGUCUUAUUCUACCUAGGAUAAGAUAUGCAAGUUAUUUAGGCUAACUAUGCUGGCUAGAAGGGACAAGGGACAACAUUAUCAGGAUGGACUGGUUUCUAGUGAGGAAAGACUGAACUGUACUCUAGGUGAACUGAUAUGGAGGAAAUAACAGAACUAUUUACAGAAACAAUGACUAACAAGAUUAGAGGAAUUCAAGAUAAGUACAUCUGGAAUUUGAGCAAGAAAUCUGGGAAGGUGAAGUAGCUUGGGAUUUCGCCAUAGCUAAAACUGCAGUGAAACCCAGGAAGAGCAUCCCCGAGAUUCAGACUGUGGAGGUAAAACUGGUGAAUAAGCAAGUGGUUUGCACUGAGCAUUUUGGCAGUGGAGUGUAUUCUGGAAGGACCUCGGCUGCUCAAAAUCUUGGGGAAAAGGAAUGUAUUGUGGUAUAUGAACUCAUGAAACCCAAGAGACAGACAAAAAGGAAAUGGUUUCCACGAAAAAGAAGAUUCCGUAAACUCGGUUACCCAAACUGCACUGAGGAAUUCAGCAAAUAAAGUUCAUGACUAUUGUCUAUUUCACCAAUUUCCAAAGGAACAAAGCACACGCUGUCACACUGCCUGCAUAUUUCUGAGUAUCUCCUACUCUGCGGAGACUUUUGAAAACUGGCCAACUGGUUCAACCAGAUUUGACACUGCCUAAGACUUUCCAGCAAUAAUUAUGUUCUAACAAGUUUUGUAAAAACAGGCAGAGGAGGAAGAGAGACCUGGUAAAAUCAGCCAAGGGAAAGGUAAGAGAUUGCUCCUUACAAGCCAUUGGAGAAUCCUGCACAAGUCACACAGGAGGAAAACGUGAUGAAUGUUGUCAGUCGUAAGAAAAGCCUCAGUUUGAAAUUGCAUCUUUUUAAAAGUGGAAGUCAGUCAACUAAGAGACACGCAGUGGAAGGAUAACCGACAUCUUUAAUUCCAGACUUCACAGCACAAUUUCUUAUUCAGAAGCAUUAGUUUCUGUUUGGCCAAGCAGUUUUUAUACAAAACCCAAAGUGCUUCUGUAAAUCUCUUAUCUUAAUAAUAAUCAAGAAAGCUAUGAGACUGAUUUGAAAUAAGUCCUGCUCACACAGUUACGUGCAUUUAAAAAAGAAUAAAGAACAUCUAUGUUGUUUCAUAGCACUACUAGGAAAUCAUUCUGUUAAAAUGCCUACCCAGAAGACAUAUAUGCUAAUGUACACUUAAAAAGGCACUUAAAAAAGUAUUUUUGAGUUAUAAGAUAACCUCAUAACCUUUGACAGGCACUCCUUAAAAAGUAUCUUAAUUUUAACCUUCCUAUUUCCCAGACCAUCUAAAAAACAGACACAUGUAUGCAGAGAUUAUGUUUAGAUUAUAAUUUAAAGCCAAGCCAACGUAGGUUGAAAGCAAACUAGAAACUUUAUAACUGCUUAGUUUUUAAAUUGAACUAGCACUUAUGUCAUAAAGUGAAAAAGGAAAAAGUACAAUCUCAUAGAUGAGUAAAUUGUUUCCCUGAGUUACUUACAAUUUCGAAUAAAUAAGGCAAUAUUUUGAAAUUCUGUCAGUAUAGAACAUAUAUGUCCUUAACAUUUCCUAGACUUAGAAUAUUAAAAAACAAACAAAAAAAAAACAAAAAAAAACAACUAACCAUCAACUAAUAAUGUCACAAAAGCAGGAGAAAAGUAUGAAGUGAAUUCAGGUUCAAAAAUUCAGUUAACUUCUUUAGUAAGGAAGGCUGAGUUGUGUGAGUGAUAAUUAUGGAAAAUAACACAAAAACGAAAGGUGGAGAUAAAAACAGAAGGUACAAUUUAGGUAUACACUAUACACAACAAAACAAAAAACAA